rnacentral:rRNA from 1 species
UACGUAGGGCGCAAGCGUUAUCCGGAAUUAUUGGGCGUAAGAGCUCGUAGGCGGUUUGUCGCGUCUGCCGUGAAAGUCCGGGGCUCAACUCCGGAUCUGCGGUGGGUACGGGCAGACUAGAGUGAUGUAGGGGGAGACUGGAAUUCCUGGUGUAGGCGGUGAAAUGCGCAGAUAUCAGGAGGAACACCGAUGGCGAAGGCAGGUCUCUGGGCAUUAACUGACGCUCAGACAGAAAGCUGGGGAGCGAACAGGAUUAGAACCUACCGUGUCAGA